AUGCAUGAUUAGGUCGGCCUGGACAUGGACGGCUUCCUGCUCGACCACGAGUUUCCGGAGGACUACAGACUCGAGGAAGAGGAUGAGUUGGACAUCGAAGGGGAGCCUUUGUUCGAGGACGAGCUCGCCAACCAAGCCGCUGGAGGGAAGCCGAAGCGCAAGAGCAGGUGGACGAAGGCAUACACGUCGGCCGAGGACAAGCUUCUAUGUGAGUGUUGGAGGGACAUUGGGCAAGACCCCAAGACCGGCGCGGAACAAAAGGCAUCAACCUUUUGGACUCGUGUCCAUCGUGAGUUCCAUGAGCGCAAGAAGUUUCCGCCGUACCAAAUGCAAAGCACGCGCGGAUGGGUGUCCAUUUCGAAGCAUUAG
rnacentral:rRNA from 1 species